AGGCGACGAUCCCUAGCUGGUCUGAGAGGAUGACCAGCCACACUGGAACUGAGACACGGUCCAGACUCCUACGGGAGGCAGCAGUGGGGAAUAUUGCACAAUGGGCGCAAGCCUGAUGCAGCCAUGCCGCGUGUAUGAAGAAGGCCUUCGGGUUGUAAAGUACUUUCAGCGGGGAGGAAGGGAGUAAAGUUAAUACCUUUGCUCAUUGACGUUACCCGCAGAAGAAGCACCGGCUAACUCCGUGCCAGCAGCCGCGGUAAUACGGAGGGUGCAAGCGUUAAUCGGAAUUACUGGGCGUAAAGCGCACGCAGGCGGUUUGUUAAGUCAGAUGUGAAAUCCCCGGGCUC
rnacentral:rRNA from 1 species